UACGAAGGGGGCAAGCGUUGUUCGGAAUUACUGGGCGUAAAGGGCUCGUAGGCGGCCAACUAAGUCGGACGUGAAAUCCCCAGGCUCAACCUGGGAACUGCGUCCGAUACUGGAUGGCUUGAAUUCGGGAGAGGGAUGCAGAAUUCCAGGUGUAGCGGUGAAAUGCGUAGAUAUCUGGAGGAAUACCGGUGGCGAAGGCGGCAUCCUGGACCGACAUUGACGCUGAGGAGCGAAAGCUAGGGGGGCAAACGGG
rnacentral:rRNA from 1 species